rnacentral:rRNA from 1 species
GAUGAACGCUGGCGGCGUGCCUAAUACAUGCAAGUCGAGCGAACGGACGAGAAGCUUGCUUCUCUGAUGUUAGCGGCGGACGGGUGAGUAACACGUGGAUAACCUGCCUAUAAGACUGGGAUAACUUCGGGAAACCGGAGCUAAUACCGGAUAAUAUUUUGAACCGCAUGGUUCAAAAGUGAAAGACGGUCUUGCUGUCACUUAUAGAUGGAUCCGCGCUGCAUUAGCUAGUUGGUAAGGUAACGGCUUACCAAGGCAACGAUGCAUAGCCGACCUGAGAGGGUGAUCGGCCACACUGGAACUGAGACACGGUCCAGACUCCUACGGGAGGCGGCAGUAGGGAAUCUUCCGCAAUGGGCGAAAGCCUGACGGAGCAACGCCGCGUGAGUGAUGAAGGUCUUCGGAUCGUAAAACUCUGUUAUUAGGGAAGAACAUAUGUGUAAGUAACUGUGCACAUCUUGACGGUACCUAAUCAGAAAGCCACGGCUAACUACGUG